GCAUCUUUGAUUGUUAGUACUUGCUUUAUUUUAUUUAAUUUGUUGUUGGAAAUGUCUUGGGUUAGUUUUUGCCAUAUAACUCUUGGGAGCCCCACAGAAAGAGUAUGACAAUGUAAGAGGCAGUUUUGGGUUAUUCCAGGCAAAACUUCAGGGCUGCUGAGAAAGUCCAAAAGGCAGCAAACAGGUCAAGGCAGGUUGAUCUCUGCUUUUGCCUUCAUUAUAUGUGCCUACAAAAGUGUCACAGCAGAUUCAGGCAUGUGGAUCCACUAAGAAAUCUUGUGGUUUCUUCCACGUGGAUUUCCAUAAAUGUGGGACAAUCCACCCUUGCUAGUACAUUGGUAUUACUGACAGAGAGAACAGGUUGCCUACCCAAAGAGUGACAGAGAAAGGAAAGAAAUGCUGAACCCCUGCUGGUGGUGGCUACUACAAAAGGAUGGGAGGCAGGGAGGGAAGGCAGGGAGGGAAGCAGAGGACACUGUAGGGACUUCAGCCACAAUCUUCUCCAUGUUGCAGAGGAGUCAUUUGUUCAGCUGCAGCUGACACAGGUUCAUUCAGAUUCCAGAAAUACUCAAAGACAAGUGUAAAAUCUCCUUCUUUGAUCAUUCAGCUGUAAAAGAUGCUGUGAAGGCUGUACACUGUGGCACCGUAGCAUGACUAAACCUUUGCAAUGGACUUGUGCCACAGGCUGUCCACACUCAAUCAUACACUCAUUGGAUCUACAGCUGUAAAUUAUGUGGUCACUGAGGCUGGAGAAGUGGCUGAAGGCCAUUCACAAUGUGCCACUGGUUUCAAAAAACGAUUCAUUAAUCACAGGAGUGUGAAUCCCAGGCUGGACUUUGAUGCCAUGACAGCCCCCUAGCAGGCCCAUGCUGAGUCCCUUCCACAUAAGCAGAAUAAUCCACCCACCAGCUGUGGCCAGCUGCCUUCAUGUGCUCCCUGCAGCAUAUAUUUGCUUGGCUAAUUGAAAAUUAUUUUUACAUGAGAAUCAAAUGAGAAGCAUAUCUGUGGGAAGCUGCUCUCUUCCAUCUUAAUAAUGCUGCUGGUAGUGCUCAGAUAACUGAUGACUGUGGAGCAUGGGAUAGCAUGUGCCUUUCUUCAGAGACACUUAAGGUGGGACAGGGAAUAUUUGCCCACAGAAAACACUUGAUUAGAAAACUAUGGUAAGAAUCUUGCUCUCCUUUAGCUGCAGCCAUACCCUUCUAGGAAAAGAGCCAAAUUCUUAAAUUUCUGUUGACAAGCUGAGGAAAUUCAGAUGUGUAACUGAGUGCUUUGGGUAAUAUAAUGAAAUACAAGAGAAGUGGGGAAAAGACCACUUCAGAACAUGCAUGAAGGUCAAAUUUUUGCCACCCCUUUCUCUGCUAUGUGUUUCCUGUUUCUGACUGGAUGCAUAGCUUUGGAACAUGAAAAAAAGCAGAGACAUUUGAGGCUUGUUCUCACUGCUGUGCUAUAGGUCUUUCUUCUCCACCUGACAUGAAAUAAUGAUGUGCUAUAAAUAUGUUUGUUUCCAACCAGUUGUUGACAUAAAACUGGAUUAUUUUUCUUUUGCUGGUGCCUAAGGGCAAGACAGAGAUUGCAACACAUGAAGCAGACAGCUACAACAGGCAGAAAGAGAUAUCUGACUGGAAAAUCUAGACCACCUAAGUAAGACACAGAUUUUCUACUCAAGGAAAGAUUUCUGCCUUAAAAUCUUAAUCCAGGAAGCAGGGAUCAGGACAGAGCAACCAUCAGGGUAUGGUAGACAUAGAUGUACACCUGAAUUUCUGCCACUGUUUUGCCCUGAAACACCUACUUCAGGGCUGUGUUCUAUUCCUCUGUCCAUGGAAUGUGGAGGCCUUCAGGUUCAUGACAGGGUUAAUGGCCUCCUAUGGGAGCAAAAGUGCUGAGGUUGAUGGUGGUAUCAGCUUCUUCCUCAGAUAGGAUCUGAUCUGCAACCUCUCUUGGAAAGAGUAUCUGGAUAAUCUCUGUCUCCUAAGGGAUUAUAAUGCCUCUUUUUAACCACUAGGCAGCAAAACAUCCUCAAGAGGAGGCACAGGGAAGGGACGAGAUCCCCUGCUCCUGUCAGAUCCCAAACCCUGCUGACAGGAACAUAAGGCUCAUGGACCAGGAAAAUAGCAAGUGAUAAGGAGCCUGAUCCCAAAGGUUGGGUCCCAUGGGAGUGGGCAGGCACCCAGAUGGCUCCUCUGUGCAGGAGCUGCACACAAAGGAACUGGCAGCAAGAGCUCACCUCUCCUGGCCCUCAGCUCGAAAUGGUAAUGAGACAGAGGAAAGAGCCACUCUUCAUAUAUGGCCAGUGCCAAGCCUAUAUCCUACUAGAACAAGGAGCUCCCAAAGAGAGACCUGGUGCUCUCCUCCACACCCAGCCAAACCCAGAUUAUUGAGAAAUUUUCCAUGUAACUAGAGAGCACCUGCACAGCUGCAGAGCUGCACAAUCCCUCCUGAGACGUGGAUUCACCCAGACUGGGUCCGAUAGGCCAGACAAGGACAGAGGGUUUUAGCUCAGCUCUUGCUUGAGGAGAGAGCUGUGAAGGAGAGGCAUGGUGACCCCAGGGGAGACCUUGCAGAGAGGAGCUGUGAUGUCCAUGAAGAGCCAGCACACACCACUGGCUGCAAGGCUAUGACUUGGAAAGAAAACAAGCCUGGCAGGGAAAAGUCCAUGCUGAUCACCUAGAUUUUUCCUUAGAGGGAAUAAAACUUCUGUAACCAGGUCCUACUCUAUGCCAGGACCAAGUGUUAUGAGUAUUUGAGGACCUGUUUCAGCAGAAGGAAAUAGCUCAGGAGUUCUGGCCCCAGUGCAGGCCUUGAUCUCUCUGUGUUUUAGAAACACCAGCUGGCUCUAAUGGUUUGAUGAACAAAAAAACCUUCCAGGUUACAAGAUUCAGGAGAGACACAGCUGACGUAUAGCUGACAAAACUGUAGCUGACAGCUGGCAAAACGGACUAAUUACCAGCUAAUACAGACGAUGAACUUCUGAUAUCCUACUGGCUGGAGCCAAGAAACCAAAGAUGGACAGCUCCAAAACUUUAGAGCUAGGUGGGACUGCCCCAAUUUACUCAUCAUCCACAGUCAUGCAUAAACCGAGUCAAUUCAGCCUGUUUGCUGCAGUAGUCUUCAUUUCUCAAGUGCAAACUGAAGAUCGAAACUCCCUUUGUAACAAAAUUGUAUCUUCAUAUUAGAAACAGUCUUAAUUUUAGCUACUCCUUGUUAUAUUUUCUAAAAUAAAAAUGGUUAUUGUUAGCUCUGUUUGCUGUAUAGGAAGCAUGGCAGGUCCAAGCAUGAUGAUACUUAAAAAAAAUGAGGUUUAUGAUUUCAGAUCUUUUCUUUAGCAAUCAGAACUAUGCAGCAAUAUGUGCUGGAGAGUUGUUCACCUUUUAAUGCAAGCUGCAAUUCUGACAUGACUGCAUGAUUCUGGGAGGCCAGGCAAAGGCAGUUGACUAUUGAGAUCUUAUUUUUAAAACAAUAUACUAUAUAGAAACGUUCUCAUUCAUUCCUGUCUUCCAGUUGGAGUUUCUACUUAUUCAGCUAGACCUUUGUAACUGAAAGAGUUAAUUUCAUAUUCUGUACAAAUGCAGGGUGAAAUCAGGAUGAGCCUUGAAUUAGGGAAGCAUGAUUAGCUCCCUCAUACUGAUGACCCUUAAGUCCUUAAUGUAGUUAUUGAUUUCCAAAAUACAAUCACCCUUCUGUAACAGUGACCUACAUUCUUAUGUCAAGGUUAAUGACAUUAUGUUAACCAUAUUCAAGUGUGUGCGGUUCAAAGGAACACAGCUUAUCAAGCAAUCCAGAUUGCUCCCAAAUGUCACCUCUUUAUUUAAAGCUAGCAGUCAUCAUUGAGUUUUUGUAAUAUUUUUAAAGCAAAGCUUCCUCAUAAGCACUAAUGGUCUUGGCUGAAAGUGGAUGUGAGAGAACCCAAGGAAGAAAAUUAUGCAAAUUUUAAUUCUGUCUUUCUUAAAUUCCUCCUUUGACUUUGAGCAGAUGAAAAAUAGUUUUACCAGGUGAGAUGGUGUUGCCUUUAUGGAAAUAAUUCUUGGAGGAUUUCCUUGCAUAAUUUGUCCACCUCUUCAUCAAAUUUUUCAAGGAGUAGAGCCAGUGUUGUGAUGGCUGUCUCAGGUUUAGUGUCUAGAAGGUAAAAAAGAAACCAAAAUGAGCUGGGUUUUCUCCCCACUCAGUGGUUCAGUGAAGAGGCAGAUGCUUUUGGUUUCUUCAAGGACUCAGUUCCUCUGCUAGAGGAAAGAUUAGCAAAUGUGCAGAGCUGCUGUAUAGUAUCAGAAAUGGGGAAACAAAUUUAUUUUCUGCUAGUUGCUUCCCAAGAGAAAGAAAAGCUGUAGCAGAUGAAUCUAAAUGUGGGUUCUCUGUGCAAUCCAGCUCUGAAAGCUGAGGCAACUGCACUUCUUUAUCAAAAGGUAUAGGAGAGUUCAGGUCCCCAUUCUGUGAGGGCCAAGGCAAUGUUUCUAAUAAAAGCUUUUUCUGGAGGAGUGAACACCAAUAAGCAGUAGAAGAGACUUGUCCUUAUCACAAUUAUUUUUAUGGAAGGAAUGUAAAGUCUGGUUUUCCCAUAGUGUCACUGUAAUAUGAGCAAAAGAAUGCCUUGCUAUUUCUUUGUUACAAUAUACUAAUGCAUUUUUAAAAGAAGAAUUUUAUGAGUUCACAUGGAUGAAGAGCAUAGCUGUUUGUGUGUCUAUACCAUGCAAUAGUUGAUUAUAUGUACCUACAAAAAAAGCAUGGUUUCUAUCUGGCUUCUACAUUCCUUUUACCCUUUUACCCCAUUGCUAUUAGUUGUAUGUGCUGUAUGCAGCAAUAAGAGGAGAAAAACAGACGAGUUGUUGCACCCAGCAGGUUUGUGAUGCUGUGAACUCAAAAAUGAAAAUAACAGAAGUGUAGUGAUAUUGCACAGAAGAAGCAAAAUCCUGAAAAAAUAAGCCCAUGACAAACAAUUCAAAGGCUGUGUUUAGUUUCUGUGCUGAAUCAUGUAUUUACCACACAUUAAUGCACAAAGAGUCAAAACAGGGAAAAGCAGGUCCCCCUGCAUCCACUUGUAUAUGAAUUAUUUUUUGUGCUGAAUAUAGAUGUCCUUUAGCCACAUUAAAAAAUGGGAUGGAAGAGCUUAUGUUUAUAGCCUUUGGACUGUGCAGCAGUCAAGAUUUAUAAUUUUCUUCAUUUGACUAUGAUUCCCAGACUGAAAAAGUUUUCCCUUUUAAAUAAUUCAGCUUCUCUUCCUGUGACUGCAACAGAAGCCUGCUUUUAUACCUACCAACACUUAUGUGUACAGCACAGUAUGCAAAAGAGUGCCCAAAUUAAAAGAUUUAUUAAAAUUUUUUGC